CCUACGGGGAGCAGCAGUGAGGAAUAUUGGUCAAUGGGCGAGAGCCUGAACCAGCCAAGUCGCGUGAGGGAGUACUGCCCUAUGGGUUGUAAACCUCUUUUGUCGGGGAGCAAAAGCCGGACGUGUCCGGCUGUGAGAGUACCCGAAGAAAAAGCAUCGGCUAACUCCGUGCCAGCAGCCGCGGUAAUACGGAGGAUGCGAGCGUUAUCCGGAUUUAUUGGGUUUAACGGGUGCGCAGGCGGAUUUUUAAGUCAGCGGUAAAAUCGUGGGGCUCAACCCCAUCCAGCCGUUGAAACUGGGGAUCUAGAGUGUGCGAGAGGUAUGCGGAAUGCGUGGUGUAGCGGUGAAAUGCAUAGAUAUCACGCAGAACCCCGAUGGCGAAGGCAGCAUACCGGUGCACAACUGACGCUCAGGCACGAAAGCGUGGGUAUCGAACAGGAUUAGAUACCCUAGUAGUC
rnacentral:rRNA from 1 species